UGUCAAAAUGGGUAACCCAA
rnacentral:siRNA from 1 species